UUCAUAGUUGUCUUGCUCACGACAACUGAUCGUUGUCCAAAGCUGUGGCUGCCCUCUUUAAAUAAUUUGGUCUGUGAAAAAGAAGCUUGUUGUAGUAUAUUAAUAAUAUAAGAUUCGAUGUAUUUACAUAUGCUACUAAAUCAUAGUUAUCUCUUCGAUACAUGACGCGACGACUUCUGGAUCAGGCUCCAUCUUAUAAAUAACAUUAUGCAGAGCAUCAAGAAGUUCAUCAUCUAUACCAAUUCCACUUCCGUACGGAAACCAAAGAUUCAGGUAGUAUACUGCACAUAGACGACACCAACUUAUUACAAUUAUAAAAAUAUAUCCAUUAGUAUAAUUAUCAAUAUUAUCGCUUACCUGCUAGAUGCAAUUUUCUACCCAUUUGGGCUCCCCAUCACCGCUCAAUGAUGUCGAUGUACACGUGGACAUAGGCUACAUCUGCCUCCAUGAUCUAAGCCUUUGCCUUCUCUAUCAUGUGAAACAAAAAGCCCAUCUAGGGGUACCUCUCGCUAUCCACGGCCCGCAGCACUUCAUAUAAUGGUUUAAUAGUCUUGACUAUCGCAUUGGCCCGCUUCCAGAAUGACUGCUUGCUUACCAACUCUUCCAUCCUACUUCCUUCAGUGUCGGCCUGGGCAUAUCUACUUUCCUUCCACUCGGGAUGACAAACAUCUGACAUAGGGCUCCUUUAUUCUCGAUAAGGCUAUCAAGUGCAAUGUAGUUCGUAGCAAAUCGUGUGAAACCUGAUCUCAGAAUCUCUCCCCCUGCAUACUUUCUCAUCAACGAAAGAACCCAAGUAUGGCUAUAAAUAUACCUGAUGAUGCGUUGGGCUAUCUCUACCGUAUGUUGCACUCUACGGAGCUUUUCAAUGUCCAUCAAGAUGAGGUCGAUGCAAUGUGUAGCACAUGGGGUCCAAAAAAUUUGUGGUUACCGCUCCAUUAAGAUCUUCUCAGCCAACUUAUAUUACGGCUCAUUAUCAAUGAUGACCUACACGACAUUCUCCUCUCCAAUCUAAUCAAUCACCUCCUCCAUAAGUCUGAGGAUGUAUGAGACGUUGUGCACCUUAUCCGAAGCAUCAACUGACUUGUGGAAGGUCUUCGCAUCACAGUAUAUCAGAA
rnacentral:lncRNA from 1 species